rnacentral:lncRNA from 1 species
ACACAGACCCAGUAGGAAACAGAGAAGGACUAGGACCACCUCCAUCCCCUAGCAGGCGAGCAGCCAUGUGAGGCACUCACUGCCUCCUUCCAGAGCCCUCCUCCCUGCUCCCGGCCUGGAGGAGCAGGCACCUAGAGGGAGAAGGACUGGCCACUUCAGAGCAACCCUACCCCAUCCACACCAGUGAGGGGUUGGGGGAAGAAUCUGAAACGAAAUAGGAGGGCAGCGUGGUGCCUUAGAAAUGCUUUGCUGUUCUGAUAAAGGAGGGAUGAACUGCAGUGCACAAGAGAUAUCGAUCUCGGGUUGGAACAUAGAAAAUGUCAAUGAAGGAUCCACAGCUUUCAUCAUUCAUGGGAAACUGUUUUGCUCCAUGUGUUUUGAAGCUCUGUUGUCA